CCUGUGCUACUGACAUAAAGAUCAUAAAAUAUUUCCAUACACCAAAUAUAGUUGACCUAUGGCAUAUAGUAUUAGAUAAAAAGACCAAAACUCAAAAACUUAACUUUGACCACUGAACCAUGAAAAUGAGGUCAAGGUCACAAGACAUCUGCCCGCUAGACAUGUACACCUUACAAUCAUUCCAUACAACAAAUAUAGUAGACCUAUUGCAUAUAGUAUGAAAAAAAACAGACCAAAACACAAAAAUUUAACUAUAACCACUGAACCAUGAAAAUGAGGUCAAGGUCCCAUGACAUCUGCCCGCUAGACAUGUACACCUUACAAUCAUUCCAUAUAACAAAUAUAGUAGACCUAUUGCAUAUAGUACAAAAAAAAAAGACCAAAACACAAAAAUUUAACUAUAACCACUGAACCAUGAAAAUGAGGUCAAGGUCCCAUGACAUCUGCCCGCUAGACAUGUACACCUUACAAUCAUUCCAUAUAACAAAUAUAGUAGACCUAUUGCAGGGGUGCGGAAAUAUUUGUUGUGAGCACUUGUCCCUGGGCAAGUAAAACUAAAUAUUUUACUUGUCCAGAAAAUGUUUUACUUGCCCUGAUGUUCCCAAUAAAUAUUGAAGUAUUUCUUGUUAGCUAACAUAUGAUAUUACUUAGCACUGUUGUGCAUCACAAACAAAUGAAAUCCAUUUGUUUAAAUAUGUGUAAAAAAAUAGGAAAGUAGGAAAUGGGUGAACACCAAUGGGACAGAAACCUAACAACAAACCAACCCAUGAAAUGACAUACAUUGUACAUGUAAAGGACAAUUUUGCAGCAGUUUUUGAAUAAAAAUUGUAGCCAGUAGGUACAUAUACUUAGUUUGAGGACAGUGAUUGAAGAAAUGUAAACUAAAUAAUAGAUAAACUAUUGAUUUUGUGGUGUUUUUCUCAACUGAUACACUUGUUCUUUUCUUAAUUAUUUAUUAUUGUCUUGAUGGACUUUAAAGCGUCCCUUCUAUUCACCACUUUGACAACAAAUAAUGUUGACCUUUCAUCUAUAAAUAAGACAAAAACUUUAUUUUCCGAAUUUCCAUAGAUAGCCAGGGGCAAUCUGAUAUCCACGAUGUCUGAAAUUCUCGCUUCCGUUUUUUUUUUUAAAUACUCGGUGUCCUCCAUUUGCAUUUAAGGUUUUUCUACACGACUCAUGACUCUUUUUGUCUUGCCUGCCCAGCUUUUUAUUAAG
rnacentral:lncRNA from 1 species